GACGAACGCUGGCGGCGUGCUUAACACAUGCAAGUCGAACGAGCGGCGGACGGGUGAGUAAUGUAUGGGGAUCUGCCCGAUAGAGGGGGAUAACUACUGGAAACGGUGGCUAAUACCGCAUACUAUCGGAUGAACCCAUAUGGGAUUAGCUAGUAGGUGGGGUAACGGCUCACCUAGGCGACGAUCUCUAGCUGGUCUGAGAGGAGGAUCAGCAACACUGGGACUGAGACACGGCCCAGACUCCUACGGGAGGCAGCAGUGGGGAAUAUUGCACAAGGGGCGCAAGCUUGAUGCAGCCAUGCCGCGUGUAUGAAGAAGGCCGUAGGGUUGUAAAGUACUUUCAGCGGGGAGGCGUUACCCGCAGAAGAAGCACCGGCUAACUCCGUGCCAGCAGCCGCGGUAAUAC
rnacentral:rRNA from 1 species